rnacentral:lncRNA from 1 species
GUUUACUUAGUACUCCAAAUCCAAUCAGUAGCAGUAUCCAUCCAACGCUGGUAGUAGUUCUUUGUGUGUGUCUCAGAAGUCUGUUUGGACUCUGAACAUUGAAGCUUUUACUUGACCUGUGUUGCGUACUUGGUGUCGAUCGGUGCCGGAACAGUGGGCAGCAAGCAAGUACUGUACUCUACGACGUGCAGCCGCUUGCUUUUGUUUGUCCUCCUGCACCAGCAGUGUAUCAUCAGCAUGGCAUCCAUUACCCAUUGGUGUCAGUCAGUGAGAUACGCGUGCAUGCAUCCAUCAUCCUGUGAUCCAUGCAUGCGCCGCGCUCCGAGCGGCUAUGGCUUUGUUUAG